UCUCAGUAUUAUUAGUUAUCACUUGCUGUUGUUUAUGGUAUCUAAUAGUUAUAUUUAUAUUUCAGAGCUAUGGCCCAGCAGCAUGACCAUUUCAACAAAGAUGUUAUACUACUUCCAGCUCCAUCAUAGGGAGUAGUGUGCAAACAAGGUUCAAAAUUAUGGUUACACAAACAUGGGCACAUCCUCAGUGCUUUUGAAUUCCAGAAGACCUGGGACAACCAAACUGUCGUGAAACACAUCAAGGAAAGCUUUGGUGAACGCAUUCCAGAGGAUGUCAGCCUCGAGUUUCUAAUGGCUUGUGGCAAUAAGCUGGUGUCUCCAAAGCUCCAAGAUGGUCAGGAGCUGAAUGGGAUGCUGAUCCUAAAGGUUUUUAAAACCAAAGCCCUCUAUGUAAGGCCAUCAAGGACACUUUUAAGUGAAUCAGAUGAAGACAAAGAUCCUUCUUACAUCAGCUCCAAAUCAGCAUUAAGCAGUUGUGCAAC